AAGGAUCAUUAAUGAAUUAAAAAUAACUUUCUUUUUAGAGAGUUUGAUUUAUUUCCUUACACUGUGCACACACUUCUUUUUCACACAUUUUAACACUAUAGUAUAAGAAUGUAACAGUCUCUUAAUUGAGCAUAAAUAAAAAUAAAACUUUCAGCAACGGAUCUCUUGGCUCUCGCAUCGAUGAAGAACGCAGCGAAUUGCGAUAAGUAAUGUGAAUUGCAGAAUUCAGUGAAUCAUCGAAUCUUUGAACGCACCUUGCACUCUUUGGUAUUCCGAAGAGUAUGUCUGUUUGAGUGUCAUGAAACUCUCAACCCCCUUAUUUUGUAAUGAGAUAAGUGUGGGCUUGGAUUAUGGCUGUUUGGCGGCGUAAUUGCCGGCUCAGCUGAAAUAUACGAGCAACCCAUUUGAAAUAAACGGCUUGACUCGGCGUAAUAAUUAUUUCGCUGAGGACGUUUUCUUCAAAAGUAAGAGGUGCUUCUAAUGCGCUUUUUAAAGCAAUUUAAGCUUUAGACCUCAAAUCAGUCAGGACUACCCGCUGAACUUAA
rnacentral:rRNA from 1 species